rnacentral:rRNA from 1 species
UACGGGGGGAGCAAGCGUUGUUCGGAUUUACUGGGCGUAAAGGGCGCGUAGGCGGUCAGCACAAGUCAGUUGUGAAAUCUCCGGGCUUAACCCGGAAAGGUCAACUGAUACUGUGCGACUAGAGUGCGGAAGGGGCAACUGGAAUUCUCGGUGUAGCGGUGAAAUGCGUAGAUAUCGAGAGGAACACCUGCGGCGAAGGCGGGUUGCUGGGCCGACACUGACGCUGAUGCGCGAAAGCCAGGGAGCGAAGCGGG